rnacentral:rRNA from 1 species
AACGAACGCUGGCGGCAUGCCUAACACAUGCAAGUCGAACGAGAUCUUCGGGUCUAGUGGCGCACGGGUGCGUAACGCGUGGGAAUCUGCCCUUUGGUUCGGAAUAACAGUUGGAAACGACUGCUAAUACCGGAUGAUGACGAAAGUCCAAAGAUUUAUCGCCAGAGGAUGAGCCCGCGUAGGAUUAGCUAGUUGGUGUGGUAAAGGCGCACCAAGGCGAUGAUCCUUAGCUGGUCUGAGAGGAUGAUCAGCCACACUGGGACUGAGACACGGCCCAGACUCCUACGGGAGGCAGCAGUGGGGAAUAUUGGACAAUGGGCGAAAGCCUGAUCCAGCAAUGCCGCGUGAGUGAUGAAGGCCUUAGGGUUGUAAAGCUCUUUUACCCGGGAUGAUAAUGACAGUACCGGGAGAAUAAGCUCCGGCUAACUCCGUGCCAGCCGCCGCCAGUA